UUUUUAAAUAACGAAUUAAGUGUCUAUGGGAAGAGGACACAGUUUAACAAGCGGUCGCUUGAUAAUACUGUCUUUAGUUUUAAUAGUUGCUACUCGAAUGGUUCCAUCAGGACCAGGAUGUAACUCGCAUACCCUUCCCAAGGACCAUUGCAAAGGUGCACGAUUGUCAUCUUUGAUGACUACGAUAGAAUUAACGGAUAACGGAUCGGAGACUUUUGUCCAUUUCAUACGUUGAGUUAAAGAAGUUAGGUAUUCGUUCUUCCAACGAGUCCAAAAGCUUUGAACGAAAGAUUGAAUUAGCUGCCAACGAUUAAGUCGGUACAGCGCAACAGAGGAGUAAUCCUCGUCAGGAACGCUUGUAAGUGGUUCCAGCGUUAAGAAAUGACCCGGGGUCAGUACGUUUAAAUCGUUUGGAUCAGUGCUUAAUGCGCACAACGGUCGCGAAUUCAAAACAGAUUCUAU